AUUGAACGCUGGCGGCAGGCCUAACACAUGCAAGUCGAACGGUAACAGGAAACAGCUUGCUGUUUCGCUGACGAGUGGCGGACGGGUGAGUAAUGUCUGGGAAACUGCCUGAUGGAGGGGGAUAACUACUGGAAACGGUAGCUACUACCGCAUAACGUCGCAAGACCAAAGAGGGGGACCCUCGGGCCUCUUGCCAUCGGAUGUGCCCAGAUGGGAUUAGCUUGUUGGUGGGGUAACGGCUCACCAAGGGGACGAUCCCUAGCUGGUCUGAGAGGAUGAGAGGCCACACUGGAACUGAGACACGGUCCAGACUCCUGCGGGAGGCAGCAGUGGGGAAUAUUGCACAAUGGGCGCAAGCCUGAUGCAGCCAUGCCGCGUGUAUGAAGAAGGCCUUCGGGUUGUAAAGUACUUUCAGCGGGGAGGAAGGGAGUAAAGUUAAUACCUUUGCUCAUUGACGUUACCCGCAGAAGAAGCACCGGCUAACUCCGUG
rnacentral:rRNA from 1 species